CAAAAAAAAUUUCGAAAAAUAUGCUUGUUUUACACCGAAUUAACCAUACUACCCCCUUAAAAUCAAACUGCUUGUCUGUCCGUUACUACGACAGCUCCUUCUUAAAUUUAUGAAUCUUCAAAACGCCGGGUAGGCAGUGCGCUAACGCGACUGUUGCUUUGCGAAAAACUGAAAACAUUUUUUUAGGUCGACCGGUCGACCUCCAAGGGUGUUACCUGUGAUUAAAACCAUUUGCCUUACGUAGGUAGGGCACAAAACUGGAAGAGCUCUUGUGGGGCGAAAUUAAGUUUGGCCUACCAUUUUUUAAGAAUGCUUGCGCCAUUUUUGUCCAAUAAAUUAAAUAUUCUACAAAAACAAUACUCGCAACGCGGGCAACGGAGGCCUUCAGCUGCCCCUUGCAACUUAUCCGAAGAAAUUUAUGAAUUGCUUUAAGCGAUUGGUCAAAAUCCUUCUGAGCAAAUCAACUUCUUUCAGAAAGCUAUAUAUUAAUUGUGCAUUUUAAACAAUGUAAUUUUAUAGCAUCUCGAUGGGGUCUGCGUAUUACGAAAUCUCUUGUCGACGUGCAACUAUUGUUGGACAGAUUAGGAUGUGUUUAGGCGUUGCGGCUUCUGCGCAGAGCGAACAAGUGUCGCUUAAGGAUAGUUGUAAUAGAUGAGCAUGGGUUAUAACUGUUUGGUCAAUCCGCUUACUAGUAAAGUGCCUUAGCACAUGGAGAGAUAUGUUUGGGUCGUAGACUGGCCUCUUUUUUGCUUGGGUUGAUUUCAGAGUAGUGAUGGGCGUACAUUGCCCAGUCCAUGGUUAGUGAGUUCGUCUUUGUCCUGUUAUAUAUAUACACCCUUUUUGGGUGUUUGGCCGAGCUGCUCCUCCUAUUUGUGGUGUGCGUCUUGAUGUUGUUUCACAAAUGGAGGGACCUACAGUUUCAAGCCGACUCCGAACGGCAGAUAUAUUUUUUUUUUAUUAGGAACUUUUUCAUGGCAGAAAUACACUCGGAAGUUUUGCCAUUGCCUGCCGAGGGGCGACUGCUAUUCGAAAAAAACUUUUUCUUAGUUUUUGAUCUUACACCAAGAUUCGAACCAACGUUCUCUCUCUGAAUUCCGAAUGGUAGUCACGCACCAACCCAUUCGGUCACGGCGGCCGUUACCUCGGUAAAAAUGUCUCACUUAGAUGAGACGUCAUACAUUAGUGAGGGUGUGAUGGGGAUGUUUUUGGUUGUGGCAUCACAUCCUAUGUGCCCGGGGACUCAAUGGUUUGUUACUUAUGGAUAGGUAGUCAUCCAUUACCCUCAACCAUUCGCCUCACAGUACAGUGCAGCUUCACAUAGUUUAUGAAUUUCAAGAAUUAUUUAUUGUGAUAUAAAUUUAAUGCUAUGAGAAAAUUGUCUUCUAGUUUUAUGAAAAGAGUGGCUUGCUUUUAUCGAAUAUGGACCAAAUGAGGCAAUAAUGACACACUUUAUUUCAUUCGUAUGCAAAAGAAAUCUCAAGAGUGGUACAUCUAAAUGACUCGGUUCAAAUUCGAUGCAUAGAAUGAAAUAAGUGUUGAUACAUUUUUAUAAAUUGCAUAAUUGAAAAUUAUUGUUAUUUUUAUGAAAUGGCUUCUUGGCACAAGUCUCGCUAGAUAAUAAGAAUAAUCGCGAGCUUUUUUCUCUAAAAUAAUCUUCUUUUUUAGAAGUUGCUGGUAGUGUGGUUAUUAUCAAAGGAAACCCAUUACCCAUUCACCAACGGCAGUUAGUUUUUGUAACAGCAUAAAACUCUCCUCAAAUUGUUGGGGACGCUGCUAAAGUAACAGCCCAUUUUAGGUUUGGAGUUGGUGAACUGGGUUUGGAUAGGGUAUUGUGAUGAGUAGAAGGCAAAAAGACAGGGAGAUCGAAGUGCAAACCUUCAAUUAUUCAAUUAGAUAACAGCCCAUCUUAGAUUUACUUAGGGAACUAGGUUUGGAUGAGGUAUUGUGAUGCGUAAAAGGCACAAAAGAUCAGGAGAUCGAAGCGCAAACCUUCAAUUCUAUUCUAUAACAGUCCAUCUUGGGUUUAGUUAGGGAACUAGGUUUGGAUGAGGUAUUGUGAUGCGUAGAAGGCACAAAAGAUCAGGAGGUCGAAGCGCAAACCUUCAAUUCUAUUCCAUAACAGUCCAUCUUAGGUUUACUUAGGGAACUAGGUUUGGAUGAGGUCUUGUGAUGCGUAAAAGGCACAAAAGACCAGGAGGUCGAAGCGCAAACCUUCAAUUCUUUUCUAUAACAGUCCAUCUUAGGUUUACUUAGGGAACUAGGUUUGAAUAAGGUAUUGUGAUGAGUAGAAGGCACAAAAGACUUGACGAUCGAACUGCAAACCUUCAAUUAUUCAAUUCUAUAACAACCCAUCUUAGGUUUCCUUAGUGAACUGGGUUUGGAUGAGGUAUUGUGAUGAGUAGAAGGCAAACAGACAGGGAGAUCGAAGUGCAAACCUUCAAUUACUGGGUUCGGAUGAGGUAUUGUGAUGAGUAAAGUGCACAAAAGACUUUUAGGAUUAAAUGCAAAUUUUCAGUCAUUCAAUUCUACUUCAGUUGUUGGCCGUAUAAAAAUCUGUGUCGCUCCGGUAAACUGGCUUUUAUGGGAUUAAGAUCUACGGAUGGUUAGCCGAAGAAAAAGCUAGGCAAACGAUGGAUGGAUAAACAGUAAAUAUAUACAAUAUGCGUCGCCUAUAAGGAAAGUGGUGCCACCGAACUUGAAAUAAUUUUUCAUAUAUUUACAUAAAUAUCAUACAAUAUUUUACUGCGAUUUAAGAAAAAAAAAAAAUUUUGUUUGAAAGUUUUCAUGCCCUUGUAUUUUCAAUUGACCUGCAUAUAUGAAUGUAUUUUGAAAGGAUUUGACUAUCAGAUUUUAAAUACGCGUAUGUAUACAUACAUAAAUAUACUUAAACAAAUAAAUAUAUUUAAUUUUUAAAUGCACCAUCUAUUUACACAAUAACUCAUUAAGAAGCACCCCAUUGCUAGUGCAAGAAAUUGGGCGAAAUGCGCGAGGUGGUGUGUAUUUGUAGGCGUCUAAGUUGUUGUUAAAUUGCAUUAGUUGCAAAAAUCGCAGGUCUGCAUAUAAAAAACAUAUUUGUUUAAUUGUAUUUCGUUUUUUGUUUUCUGUGGCAGUUAGUUUACGUAUAUACAUAUACAUAUACAUAUACAGAAAUAUUUACAUUUGCAUAUAUGAGUGGUACCUACAUAUAUUUUGUUGUAUAUCCCUAUGUGAAACGCGCAUGCAUACAUGUUUACAUAAAUACACGCCCACAUAAGUGUUAUGUAUGAAUUGCGCUUCCCAUACAUACAUAUGUACAGAAACAAUUAAUUACCUACAGAAAUACAAUACAUAUACAUAUAUACUUAUAUUACAUAUACAUACUUACAUACAUAUAUUAAAUAUAGAUGAAAGAUUAGCAAAUAAAGUUUUAUUAAUACGUCAA